UGGGGAAUUUUGGACAAUGGGGGAAACCCUGAUCCAGCCAUCCCGCGUGUGCGAUGAAGGCCUUCGGGUUGUAAAGCACUUUUGGCAGGAAAGAAACGGCAUGGGUUAAUACCCCGGGAAACUGACGGUACCUGCAGAAUAAGCACCGGCUAACUACGUGCCAGCAGCCGCGGUAAUACGUAGGGUGCAAGCGUUAAUCGGAAUUACUGGGCGUAAAGCGUGCGCAGGCGGUUCGGAAAGAAAGAUGUGAAAUCCCAGAGCUCAACUUUGGAACUGCAUUUUUAACUACCGGGCUAGAGUGUGUCAGAGGGAGGUGGAAUUCCGCGUGUAGCAGUGAAAUGCGUAGAUAUGCGGAGGAACACCGAUGGCGAAGGCAGCCUCCUGGGAUAACACUGACUCUCAUGCUCGAAAGCGUGGGGCGCAAACAGG
rnacentral:rRNA from 1 species